rnacentral:hammerhead_ribozyme from 1 species
AUUCACCUGACGAGUUCCAAAUAGGACGAAACACGUGUCCUGGAU